rnacentral:rRNA from 1 species
UACGGAGGGGGCAAGCGUUGUUCGGAAUUACUGGGCGUAAAGGGCUCGUAGGUGGUCAACUAAGUCAGACGUGAAAUCCCUCGGCUUAACCGGGGAACUGCGUCUGAUACUGGAUGGCUUGAGUUCGGGAGAGGGAUGCGGAAUUCCAGGUGUAGCGGUGAAAUGCGUAGAUAUCUGGAGGAACACCGGUGGCGAAGGCGGCAUCCUGGACCGACACUGACGCUGAGGAGCGAAAGCCAGGGGAGCAAACGGG